GAGCCGCUAGCUCAGCUGGUAGAGCAACGCUCUUUUAAGGCGUGGGUCGAAAGUUCGAAUCUUUCGCGGCUCA
rnacentral:tRNA from 1 species